rnacentral:rRNA from 1 species
UACGGAGGGGGCAAGCGUUGUUCGGAAUUACUGGGCGUAAAGGGCGCGCAGGCGGCUGCUCAAGUCAGGCGUGAAAGGCCUGGGCUCAACCCGGGAAUUGCGCUUGAGACUGGGCUGGCUUGAGUGCGGGAGAGGAUGGUGGAAUUCCCAGUGUAGAGGUGAAAUUCGUAGAUAUUGGGAAGAACACCGGUGGCGAAAGCGCUCUGCUGGGCCGCAACUGACACUAAUGGACGAAAAGCUAGGGGAGCGAAUGGG